CAUCUGCACAGACAGCAUGCUAAUGCUAAGCAGGCGAAGAGCCCAGAGUGAUGAUAAAGCUGAUUGAAUGCAGACCCCAGCCAAACAGCCAGAACCUGAAUUUCAACAGAAAGGCAAGAAUGCAAUGGUAAAGUGCAAACACUGCUCGACUCCACUAUCACCAUUUGCACCAAUGCAGCUUUGAAUGUUUCUAAGGCAACACAACAGCCCAACCAAGAGUGAUGCACACGCUGAGUGCACGAUGAUCUUAACCAAGAAGUAAAAGCUUGAUUGUCAGCAGGUAAGAAAAUCGUGGAUGACAAGUGAGGUUUUACUGUUAUGAGAUUUUUCCUUGAAGUUUCUUCUAUUAUCUCUGCUGUUAGCUUUGCCUUAAAAUGUAUACACAAAAACAAAGCUCUGAUAUAUAUGACCUCCUAAUUAAGACAGGAAUGAAACGACAAUGAGGAACCCUAAGCAAAUUGCCAGUGAGACGUUUUCUCCUUAGAGAUUCAGACGAAAAACACUGUUGUUAUAUAGCAACACAGCGGUCUUGUAAGCAACCAGUUACAUAAUCAAUUACAGAAGAAAAACCUUUAAAGGCGAACCACUCCGCUUCUUUCGUCAUGUACAGUUAAUCGCAAGAUAAACAGUAGUAGUACAAAGAACUUGUUGGAUGAUAUUGCAUUGUAUUGCAGCAGCCUCAACCACCCACUUUUGUGGUACCCCCCUCUCACUGGCUCUGUUCCAGGAAAUGAGAGCUGUGAAUUUUUUCUUGCCGUGCUGCUUUCAGCGUGAACGUGUCCUCUCUGAACUAAGCAAUUAGCAAGUCGUAACGAGGGAUAAAAUCACCAACCCCGCAUCUCUUUCUGCUAGACCAGUGAUAAGUACAGUGGUCUGUAAUGUACUAUUAACAUGAAGUACGGCACGUUUUUAACAUCAGACCUCGAGCUUAGUCCGAGCACUGCUUAAUCAGCACAGUCUCGUUACACCUUAUUUCAUCACUCGUUGCUAGUCUAGUAUGAAAAACAGGGUAGAUGUAUUUUAACGUGGGUCCUUGAUUUUAAGUGGCUUGUGUUUUUUUUAGUGUUUUGUCUUCCUGCAUUAGGCUGAGGAUAUGUGAGUCAUCAAGUGUAUCGGGAAGUGAAGUGCUCCAGUUCUAAAGGCUGAGAUGAGUGCUUUUAUUACUGCAAACCAAAAGCCUCAUUAGCCAGAAAUCCAGGAUUUAAGACUAUUUUUGCAUUUGUGCAGAGAAGAGAAACUAUUCCGUACGUGAGGAUUGUCUAGCUAAUGCAGCAGCUCACUGAGAAACAUCCUACACAAUACAUUUACAGACUAGCGAGGACGGAGACAGAGAUUUCUGAGUGAUAAAUCAUCAGCGACGCUUCUGUCAGAGAGCAGAAAAUUUUGCCAGUUGCACACGAUCCUAUGACUGUGGCUUGCCCCCCCCUCCACUCCUCCUUGUAACCCUGCCUCCCUCUGCGAUGGUGACUAAUUCAAUCAUUGCUUUUAAUCCUGAUACUGGAGUCCAACACUUUCACAGCAGGGAACUGAUAUGUCCCUGUUGGUGCCUCCUUUUAGCAAAGUGUUAAUUUGGAUCCUGUGACAGGGGGCCGGCAACAAAAUGUUUUAAAUGAGAGUGGACUAAACUGUGACCACAAGAGUGAAAGUCAUAAUGAAAGCUGAUGUGGUAAAGGAUGGUUCCACCGAAACUGAAAAUCCUAUUUUUCUGUUAUAUAGUCCCUGUCGGUGCAUACAGAUUUGGUCUUUCAGCUUGUCCCUGUUUUUCUGGACAGUCCAAGGAGGAGUGAUUUUUCUUUGUUUUUGAUAUUCAGAGAUCAGUAUUACUAGCCUCCGUUGCUCUGUGAAUACCUAAAUAGUGCUUUUAUUUUGAUCUCAAGACUACAUGUGGGUAGUUCCUCAUGAGGACUAUAGACAGUUUAAAAGGCAGAUGUAACUUUUGGGUCUGAAAAGUAAAGCUAAGAAGUGCCUUAAAUUUACAUUUUUUUUUAAAGGCCCAGGGAUGCAAACACUUUCAUUCCAAUAGGAAUUACUUAUGGGACAAUGGCCUUCAGCCAACCCCUUUCUAAUGAGUUUACUGCCUCAGACAUCAUUUAUUCUAUAUGACUCCACUUUGUCCAUUUUGAAAAUGUUGAUCAGUCUAAGUGUCAUUUUAGAGCAAGUAACCAGAUUAAAAGUCAGACAGGACUGAAAAUGCUUCAUGUAAACAUGCCAAACAGGACAUUCGGACCCGAUCACGCUCCUUUGGAUCAAAAGUUCCUUCUGAUAGGGACAGGUUGGUUAUAUCGAUCGAUAAUCAGAUUGGUUUGCAUGGAUACACUUCUGAAAUGAUCUUUACUGCACCUCUAUACGUUGAAGUGCUGUUUUUUGAAGCCAUUUGAAAAUGUAUAACUGUAAGGUAACGUUUUCAGAUAUUUACAUGGGCAAAAGUACAAAAGAUGCACUGAAAAAACAUUAAAAAUACAUUAAAAGUCUAAAUAUAAAAAUUAAAAGUACUCAUAUCAUUUUUUUAACUCACACUUUAAAAUAAAACCAGCAUUUUGUUUUUGUUACUGAUGAUAAUAGAGCCCAUCUGUUGCAGAUCACGCUGCAGCUAAUGAUAAUUUUCAUUACAGACUAAUCUAUUCUCAAUUAACUGAUUGCUUGGAUUGUAAAAAUUCAGAAAAUGGUCUUAGAUAACAAAGUGAAACCAUUGCAGUGAUACUUUGUCUAACAAGCAACCCAAAUCCCCAAAUUGCACAUCCAAAAACUGGAAUUAAGGAUAAAAGUCAUAAAUACAAAAAAAGAGAGAGAGAAUUUUGAAAUGAUGUGUAAUCAAUCAAUGAAGCACCUCAGCUUUAAUUCUCUAUGACCUGCAAUCUUAAGCUCUAUAAACUCUGAAUACAUCUUGUGAACAAACUAGUACAGUCAUAUAAAUAAAGGAUUAAAAAGUUGCCAACAAGACUUGCCUUUGAAAUUAAGUGGAGUAGAGGUGUAAACACAAAACUGUAAACACUCCAAUCUUUUGCUAGGGUGCAGAAGUGAAACAGUUUGCUUACCUUUCAUAUCCCGUAUAUGCAUAAACAGAAACUUACUUAUCCAAGCAUUUUGUCAGGUAUGAAUGUUAAGAAGAACUCAAAAUUAGACAGGGAGCAGGUCGAGUUCAAAUGUUUCAGCACUGAGAAAAGCGUGCGGCGCUCAAUUAGCUCGUGUUGCGGCACCACCGCCCACAGACAGCUGCAAAAAGGUGCAAAAGGUGAAUUGUUGUCUUUCUUACAAGAGAAAAACACAAGCAUAGAAGAGACACAGAAGUAAAGCAUUAUAAGGACUAUUUAAGCAGAGUGUAGGCAGUGACAGACGCAGCUGCGGUAAACACAAAAUUAAAAACAUUUAUAGCUUUCUGGGUUUUUUAAAAUCAUUAUUAUUAUAUUAUGGAGAUUCAAAGUUUAAAAAGACAGGCAGGGAAGAGUAGAAUAAAAUGAGAUAAACUCCCUUACAUCUCUCACAUAAAUUCACCAGCUGUCUAACUACUCUCACUUUAUGUUUACUAUCGGCCUGAAGCAGAGUGCUAAUGUAGCGUAGCUAAACAGCCCAACGCCGUCUGCUGAGAGUGGACCUCUUAUGUUGCCAAGGUGCUGACGGUAAAAAUACCCAGAGGAACCUUACAAGCCAAUGGGUGCCAUCAUGGUGGCUACGUCAUCGUUUACACUGCCAAAGCUGUGAGUUUGCACAGUCCCAGCAGCACACCUUCAUCGCAGCGUCCACUGAUGGAGACACGGUUGGAGAGGCGGCUGGAGCGUGCCCUGUUUCACACAGAGAGAAGUGGCUCCUCAGAGGCGCAGCUGCUGAGCAGACCACGGAGAAUAGUGUGCACACAAAAAACAGGAUAAAACCUUUGGUGAGGAUUUGAGCUUCAGUUGAGAAAACAUCACGACAAAUGCAAAAGAAAUCAGUUUAAAGUUGAGAAAAAGAAUUGUCAAUGUUCAUAAAGCAGGAAAUGGAUAUUCAAAGUUAUCACUGCGUUUCCAAGUGUCAAGAACUGGAGUGAGAAGUACCAUCAAGAAAUUCAGAGAGCCAAACAGUACAGAACGAGCCUGGCAGAGGUAGGAAGUGAAAGAUUGAAACGCCUCUGUAAAGAAAACUGGUGAGAGAUGUGUCUGAAGACCCCAGAACAACUGCCAAGACACAAGUGCAUGACUUAGCCAAGACGAACCAAGAAAAGACAAUUACUAGGACCCACUUCUGGAGAAGAGGCACCUUCAAGCCAGAUUGAAGUAUGCUUCAGUCUGGCUCAAAGUUGCACAACCUGGAGAAUGAGUAUGCAUACUCAUGUGCUUUGAACAGAUGAGAUAAGACCGGAGCUUUUUGGCUACAGAGAUGCUGCUUACGUUUGAGUAAAGAACGGAGAGGCGUACAACCCACAGUGAAACACGGAGGUGGGAGUUUUAUGCCGUGGGGAUUCUUCAGUGUGUCUGGAUGUGGGAUUUUCGUCAAGGUGGAGGGAAUAAAGAAGAAGGGAAGAUGUGUGAAAGAAAACCUCAAGCCAUACUAAAUGAUAAACUUGGUCUGGGUCUUUGCUUUGUCUUCCAAAACGACAAUGACACGAAACAUACGUCCCUCCUGGUGAAGAACCACCUCCACAAGACCAAAGUGAGCAAUACUGACAGGCUUGCACAAAGCUCAAGCUAAAGUCCAACAUAUUUGGAGAAGACUCAAAGAAGAGAUAUUCCAAGAAGAAUGAAGUCAGGAGACGUGUGUGAAAACUUGUUGAAAACUGUGAUAAAGUACUGGAGCCUGAAUAUAAGCAUCAGGAGGCCGAACAAUUGUGUUCUCAUCUGUGUUGUUGUGUUAAGCUAAAAAAAAAGCCCAUUAAAAGCAAGUUAAUAUCUGAGAGCUGAGGGAUGCAUAAAGGUUUGUAAAUGCAUCAUCAGAAGAAGCUGAAAAAUGGUUUAUUGGUUUGAGUAAUUAUGAUGUGCAGCAGUUUAUGAUUUCAGAGAUCACUAAAGUCCCUGUUAGUCAGAGGUUGGACGUACAGUGCGUGGGGGGCUCAGGGCAGCGGUAGAGGAUUUUUCUAACCAAUAACAACAACGUGCAACAGCGAGUCAUAAGCAACAACCACAAUUCAUUGCGCCUCACCUACAGUGAGUUAUUACAGCUGAUUCAAUAAAGCUGGAGGAUUCACGGGAGAGAGAAUUAGUCAGAAUUAGUGUGGUGUAACAUCAUACAUUUCCCCCUAAUGCACGUUGAUAGCAUCUUUAAUUAGAGUCCCUUGCCUCCUGAACUUGUUUCAAACGCAUCCAGUAUUAAAUGCAGGCUUUCUAUUAAAAUGUCAAACGCUCGAGUGAAACGGCACCACGAGCGCAUUAUUAUGGCUCUAUUUUUUCAAACUUUGGAAAGCUUCUCCAGAGCUACAGACGAUAUCGCUCGGCUGUUUUUAACAGGCCAACACUCCCUGCGAGGGGGUAAAGUGAACAUCUUGCAUGAACUCAGAUUGGGAAUUCUGCACAAUCACUCAACGCUACAUGUUUCAUAGCAAACAUUACCCGGUUGACCCAAAAGCAUUAUUUAUAGACUGGUACAUAAGACUAGGAAGGAAGUUCCAGGGAAGGAAGGAAAGCUUUCCUCUUCAUGAGAAUCUCUGGGUACUGGUUUUACUGGUUUUCUUUUUCACUUCUCUCGAAGAACAGCUCACAUCUGCUUACAUGACGAGAAGCACUUUGUAGUUGUGUAAGUGUUUCAUAAAUAAGGCCGCCCGCCAAUCGUGAGGCAGAAAACAACAGUGUUGUCCGGCGCUCUGAAAAACAGCAACAACGCGAAUGCUGCACGUCAGCCCAACAACAACAAUAACAGGCAUAUUAUAAAUAAUGCGUCCGCUUUCAAGCUGAUGGGGCUGCUCGUCUGACAGUUAAAUAAAUUCGCUGCUGGCUCAUUAAGCUGAGAGAAACCAGCGAAGAACGCGUCGGAGGAAGAAAACACAGCGUGACAGUGAACAGGCCGAUUCCAGGCUGACCUCACGUAACCCCGGCAUCGCUCAGGAUAAAUGCUGGAGAUAAAUGACUCGGUGGGGCAAGACUGGUGGUGCGGUUCAGAUAUCUG